AAUUAUUUGACUCACAAGUAAAAACCCUAGGUGCUUACUCCGCCUCCAUUUUCAACACUGGCGUAUCGAUUCACCAUUCUCCCGCGCAUAGCUGCCGCUUACCGUUGCCGUUAGCUCCACUCCCAUUCCCGCUCACGUCAAUGGCUCCGUUGCUCCCACUCGCCGACGCCGCUGCGCUCCAUCUCUAACAAAGUCCGUACCAGCACAACUGAAUCGGAGGAUAGAAGUUUCGCCACUUUGUUGUUCACAACUAUUUUAGAACACCCGCAAGGCUGUCACGAUCAGUUGUCAUCUAUUGAACAUGGAUGCAGGAAUUGAUAACUUUCGGAAUGAGAAAGUUAAAAGGUUUGAGGAAUUUGUUGACCGUCGCUUGAAACCUGAUUUGGUGCAUGCAAUUGCUGAAAGGGAUAAAGUGUUUGAGCAGCAGAAAGUGUUUUCAGACCUUCGUAGGAACAUUGAGAAUUUGGAGAAAAAUAGUAUAACUAAUCUCAGAAUGUUGGUCAAUCUUGGCUCUGAAGUCUAUGGACAAGGCGAUGUGCCAGAUACACGAAGCAUAUUUGUAGAUGUCGGGCUUGGGUUUCAUGUCGAGUUCACAUGGUCUGAAGCUUUAAAAUUUCUCUCUCUCAAAGAAGAGAGGUUAGCCAGACAGAUAGAAGAGUACACUCAAUUAAUUGCAUCAAUUAAAGCGCAGAUCAAGUUGGUUUGUGAAGGGAUUCGUGAAUUAUUACAACUUCCAGCAGAGAGGACUAUCGAAGGACGUGUAUUUUGAGUUCCAUUCCUGAUAGUUCCUGCUUUCCUGGGAAUGAAGAUGGUCCUGAAUCAGACUCCCCAGGUGGCAGUCAACGUCCCAACACCUAGUAGUUUUACCAGUCAAUCACUUCUCAGACACACAGAGAGUGGAAGUUUAGGUGGCUCAUCAUGUUUUGUUAAUAUAAUUUUUUUGUUCAUGUCAUGGGAAUAAAGUAGAGCUGUGUUGAAUAGAAUUUGCAAUAAGUUUGGUUUACUUAAAUUGUUAAGUAUGUUGAUGUUGAUAUUCUGAUCUGUAAUAAUUUGUAUGCUUUAAGCUGUUGCUGAGAUUAUAUGUUAAGUUUUAGAGGAAUAAAAACUGCAAAAUCAGGUUUAACAGGUGCUAAGGAUACAGGUUCCCAGGAGUGUGUUAGAUAGUAGUUAUCAUAAGAGGGUUGACAAUUGUUUUCACAUUUCUUCUCGGAUUAAGAGGGUAAUCUGGGGAGGGGUGUGAUACUAAGUACAAUCUAUUUACCGAAAAUGCUCAUAAUGUCGUGAGACAAGGAUCUACAGAUAUUUCUUAUCAUGCACUUUUUCUCAAAUGGUAAGACAAUAAAAAAUCCCUUGAUGUUGAAAGUGAGAAAUUGAGACGUUAGUUGUUGACAAUCACAGACUUAUGUCUACUAUUGCAGAUUUGAAGCAUGAACUUUCUCAAGUUAAAGAAGGAUUCAGUGUUCAAAACGUCAGAAUGUUGUACUGAGUCUCUGGAGAAAAUUUUGACUAAAGGAAAAAUAGUUGGUGAUAACUCUAAGCUUGGUUUUUCUAAAGGUGGAAGUUAGCAUAAUAAUCAGUCAAAUUCCAAAGGGAAGCAAAAUAUUGAGUUUGUUAGAGGUCAAGAUCUAGAGUUCUAUGGUUUUAUCGGUACUUUCUUCAGCAAUUCAAUAUGGAAAUACAAUCGUUCGUUCAGACCAAUAUGGAUUUGUCACUAUUGUCGCAAAGUGGGCCAUAAAUGUCUUUUAUUGCCAUUAGUUAUUGAAAAUUCUUCAUAGAUCCACUUAUCCAAUAAGGGCUCCUUACUUCUCUUAGGAUUACCUUAAAAGACAAAUAAAAAUCAAACAAGUUUGGAGAGAGAAGAAUGUUCCGAACAAAUGUAAUGUUGUAUUGACAUCUCUCAGAUUUUUUGCUAAAGGAAAUGUCACUUUUGGAGAUAGUGUAACGUUGGUUGGAGGGCUUACUACCAAGGUCUGAACAUGAUCUUUAUCAAAGACAUAUAUGUUGUCACAAGCGAAGUCAAAGCUCUUGUCAUGACAGGUACGCGUUCUUCUGAUAACUGUUAUAUGUGGAGUUUGACUAUUCUUCGCAAGUUUGUCAUCUCUCUUGAAAGAUGAAGCUAGCCUAUGACAUGAACACCUCGGGCAUGUAAGUAUGAAGACUACAAGAUGCACUUGCCAAAAAUGCUAUAUCUGGACUCCAUUACCUACUUCCAUUGGAAUUAUUUGUGGAGAUUGUCAGUCAGGAAAACAAACUCAUACUGCGCACAAGUAGGUAGCUCACUUGGGUUUAACCCAUAUACUGGAACUUCUUCAUAUGGACUUUAUGGGUCCUAUGCAAUCAGAGAGUCUAGAAGGCAAACGAUAUGUUUUAGUUGUUGUUGAUGACUUCUCACGAUACACGUAGGUUCGUUUUCUUUGUGAAAAAUUAGAUACAUUUAUUGCUGAUGCAUUGGAAAAGGAGAGGAAAAUAAAUAUGCAACUUAUGUUAUGCGUUGAUCUCCAUGCGUCGAUGGUCAUGCGUUGGACUAGAAAAUAUACAAUAUACGUUUAAGCAUGGAUAUGAUGACCAUACGUUCCUGCCACAAGUUUUAUCGCUUUCUCGCCAAGUAUAAUAAGAACACAAGUUUCUAGGAUGAUCCGAGGUCGAACACAGGGACUUGUAACUCAAUGUUUGUGAAGUAAUGCGUUUGAUGCAAUGAAUAAAAGUCGAGCUCUUUGUGAAAAAAAAAAUGCAGGAAGAAGUCGAGAUGAGCAUGGUAUUUUUCGUUUGGUCUUCUCUUUAUAUCUCACCAUUUUUCUGUUUGAAGUGUGAGUUCUUUGACGAGUACUCACCAUUAGAGGAGACUUAGUAUGACAAGCAAAUACAAUAAUUUUGUAAAUAGACGGUUGAGGGAAGAACAAAUCCACAACACAACAAAGAGGCCUGUCACAAUUAAACUGCCAACAGUUCAAAUUCAAAAAGCAAUUUGAAAAUAAAAUACAGUUAGACUUCCUUAAACUCCCAAAAAGCGCAAUAAGGCGAUUAUUUGCAUGAUUAACUUCACGGGCUUGCACGCUUGAUGGGCAGAGAUCCUCAGCUGAAUGACUCACACUGAGGGAUGUCACAAGAGAUGGUCGAGCUCUUUGUGAAAAAAAUGCAAGAAGAAUUUGAGAUGAGCAUGGUAGGAGAACUAUCCUAUUUUCUGGGAUUUCAAAUAAAGCAACUGAAUGAGGGAAUCUUUAUUUUUCAAAGCAAAUAUGUCAAGAAUUUAGUGAAUAAAUUUGGCCUUGAAAAUGCCAAUAUUAAAAGAACUCAUGCUCCAACUCAUAUGAAAAUAUCAAAAGACUCUAGUAGAACUCAACUUGAUGAGAGUCUAUACAGGAACAUCAUUGGGAGCUUGCUCAAUUUAACAGCCAGCAGACCAGAUAUUGCUUUUGUUGUAGGUGUGUGUGCUCGAUAUCAAUCUUGUCCUAAAAAAGUCAUUUGUUUAGUGCAAAAAGGAUAAUCAAAUACAUAAAUGACACAAGCGAAUAUGGAUUACUGUAUACGUUUGAUACAAGUAGCUCAUUAGUUGACUACUGUGAUGCUGAUUGGGCAGGAAGCUCAGAGGACAGAAAAAGAGUACUUUUUGAGGUUGUUUCUUCCUGAGCAACAACUUGAUUUCAUGGUUUAGCAAGAAACAAAACUGUGUUUUCCUGUCAACAGCUGAAGCUGAAUACAUUGCAGUUGGGAGUAGUUGUACUCAAUUGAUUUGGAUGAAACAAAUGCUACAGAAGUAUGAUGUCCCACAAGGUUUUAUGACUCUUUACUUUGACAACAUGAGUACGAUUAAUAUAUCCAAAAAUUCAGUUCAACACAGUCGUACCAAACAUAUCGACAUCAGACAUCACUUUAUUCUUGACCUUGUGGAAAGUAAGAAGAUCAUGUUAGAGCAUGUCAACACUAAAAAUCAACCAGCAAACAUGAAGGUGUGAAUGUCUCUGAAGAAAAUAUUUUAAAGUCUGUUGUUGAGACAUCUUUUGUGCUUGAUGCUAUUGAUUCACAAAAUGCUCAUGUGAUUCUGGUUGUUGCUAGAACUAGGCCUAGUGAAGAGGCUUAAGCUGUUGAAGAGAAUGUGAAAACUCUGGCUGAGUCUUCCCUUUUACCGGAUCAAAGACUUGUGAUUGAUAAUUUGUUGACUACUAAGAUUUUUGAGAAUGUGAAAAAUGUUGCUUUAUCUGAUGUUGCCACUAAGAUCAACGAUCAAAGUCAUGAGAAUUCUCCUCGCUUUACUCAUUCUGUUGAUGAAGAUGAUGAAGACGAUAUUACUAUUGCAGAGCUUCGAUCAAAGAAAACUUUUGUUGAUGUUGGUGUCUCCGAUGUAGUUAAUAUUGACGUUGAUGCCUCCUCUGAGACAUCUGAAAAUGAAUAUGAGAAAACUGAUUAUGAGGAAGCUUCAGACUAGGGAUUCAAGAGCAGCUCGGACAAUGACGAUACUGAUUAUGUUCGUGUCACUAAAGCCUUUACUCAAGUUAAAAGAAAAUGGUCAAUUACUUCCAACGUUCCCUCUGUGCUUUUAGAUGGUAUUUUCUUCCACUCUGAGAAGGAUGUUAGCCUGUGGAAGUACGUUGUUAAGUGCAAAAUUGUGGAUGAGAAACAAUUAUGUGGUCGUACUUAAGAGUUUGUUGAGCUUAUGGAGUUAAUUCAUGUUGUUGGCCUUGAACUAACUGUUUUGAGCUUGGGACCCUACUAUCCACAACUUGUUUGUAAGGUUAUUGUGAAUCUUCCCUCUAGUUUUGCAGAUUCAGCUAGCCCAGAUUACCCAAGGGUGCAUAUUAGGCGCCAUCCAUUUGUUUUCCCUGCUGCUUUGAUCAAUCAUGUUGUUCUAACGAAUGAGAGGGAAAUGAGAAAAAUGGGAAGUGUGUGAAUUUCAUUCUAGAAAACUCCAUAUAAAUACAUAUCUUGAAUCUAAAAAUAAAUUCCAUAAUGUUAACAACUAAUCCCACUAACUCCACAAAAAUCGGAACUUAGACUUGACUACAACUAAAAAUAACUUCAACUAUUUCCUAGAAACUAGGAAUUGACUAGACCAACUCAAAAACUAAUUUGCAGUUUUGAGUUACUAACAUUCUCCUCCUAACUCAAAUACUACAAACACCUAACUUGCUUCUAAGAGCUUGAAAACGACUCACACAAAACUCAGGUUCAACAAGUGAUCAUCCAUCUUGUUGUACCAUGCCCUAGGAGCUUGCUUCAAUCAAUAGAGAGCCUUCUUCAACAAAUAAACCUUCUCCUUUUGUAUUGGUAUGAUGAAUCCGUCUGGUUGCUCAACAUAGAUCACUUCUUCUAACACUCCAUUUAGGAAUGUUGACUUCACAUCUAGCUGAUACACCUUCCAUCCAUGCUGGGCUGACACAGCCAGUAGCAACCUGAUUGUGUCCAUUCUUGCAACUGGUGCAAAAGUCUAAAAAAAAAAAAACCAAUUCCCCAGAUUUGUGCAUACCCUUUUUGAUGAAAAUGUCCCAACCUCUUGUGCCAUAACUCAAUGUCAUUUACUUGACACUUGAAAGUUAUCUGCUCCUUCUCGAGUGGAUCCAGGAGAAGCUCUUGUGCUGCAUCUUUAUUUUGAACAAUUCAUUCCCAUUGGAAUCAGAAAUGAAGCACUUUCCUUUUUCAAACAACACUUUGAAUCCCUUCUCUACUAAUUGACCAAUACUUAACAAGUUUUGAUCAAUUUCAGGGACAAACAACACUUCAGUAAUCAACUUGGUUCCAACACUGCUCUCUAUUGACACUGUGCCCUUCCCUUUUACUUCUAGAUGCUCACUGUUUCCCAUAUUCACCCUUGACUUGAAUGACUUGUCAAGGUCCUUGAACAACUCUUUGUCACUUGUCAUGUGAUUGGUACACCCACUAUCAACAGACCAACCAUCACAUUGAGUGACUGAUGAGAAACAAGUAGCCACAAAGAGUUGAUCUUCUUCUUGUUGUACUACAACAUGUGCUCCUCCUUGUUGUUGAGUUUUUGCUUCCUUACAGAAUCGUUCAAUGUGCCCCAAUAAAUGACAUCUUCUACACUUCACAUCUGGCCUUCUCCAGCAUCUGAAAUGUGGAUGAUUCUGCUUCCCAUAGUGCUUGCAUGUACUACCAGCAUCCUUUGCAGCAAAAUCUGAGCUACUGCUGCCACUUUGUUAGUAACUCAAAACUGCAAAUUAGUUUUUGAGUUGGACUAGUCAAUUCCUAGUUUUUAGGAAAUAAUUGAAGUUAUUUUAGUUGUAGUCAAGUAUAAGUUCCUAUUCUUGUGGAGUUAGUGAGAUUAGUUGCUAAUAUUGUGGAAUCUAUUUUUAGAUUCAAGAUAUGUAUUUAUAUGGAGUUUUCUAGAAUGAAAUUCACACACUUCCCAUUUUUCUCAUUUCCCUCUCAUUAGUUAUAACAACAGUGGUGUCAGAACCCUCAAUUCAUAAGGGAUCUGUGAGUGAGAAUCAAUGAAAUAUCUCCGAGAGAAACUGAGUGAUAUACCUGUGAGAGUUGUUAGAGAUGGACUUAGGAUCAAACAGUCUUUCUUCAUUGGCUCCAUCUGUGUUUGAUGGUGAAAACUACCAGGCAUGGGCUAUCAGAAUGCAAGCCUACAUGGAGGGUUGUGAUUAUUGGGAAGCAAUUGAGCAAAGACUAUGAGAUUGCUCCAUUUUAUGAUAACCCAACAAUACAUCAGAUCAAGACUGACAAGGAGAGGGUCACCAGGAAGGCAAAAGCUCGAGUUUGCCUAUAUGCAGUUGUGUCUCUUGCCAUAUUCAACAGAAUUAUGGCCUUGAAGUCGGAAAAGGAGAUCUGAGAGUUCCUCAAAAGUGAGUAUGAAGGUGAUGAGAAGAUUAAAGGCAUGAAAGUGUUGAACUUGGUGCGAGAAUUCGAGAGAAUGCAAAUGAAGGAUUUUGAGUCCAUUAAAGAGUACUCAGAUAAAUUGAUUAGGAUUGCUAACAAGGCAAGAGCAUUAGAAACCAAUUUAUCUGACAAUAGAUUGGUUCAGAAGAUUCUAGUUUCAGUACCUGAGAGAUAUGAAGCAACCAUUGCUUCCUUAGAAAAUACUAAAGACCUCUCAAAACUCAAGGUGAUAGAAGUGGUUAGUGCUUUGCAAGCACAAGAGCAGAGGAGGUUAAUGAGACAAGAAGGAAGCAUUAAGGAGGCAUUGAAAGCUAGACUGCAGCAGGGAGAAGGUGGAAGAGAGAAGAAGGGAAGUGUGUUCUAACUAAUGAGAGGGAAAUGAGAAAAAUGGGAAGUGUGUGAAUUUCAUUCUAGAAAACUCCAUAUAAAUACAUAUCUUCGAUCUAAAAAUAGAUUCCACAAUGUUAGCAACUAAUCCCACUAACUCCACAAAAAUAGGAACUUAGACUUGACUACAAUUAAAAAUAAUUUCAAUUAUUUCCUAGAAACUAGGAAUUGACUAGACCAACUCAAAAACUAAUUUGCAGUUUUGAGUUACUAACAUUCUCCUCCUAACUCAAAUACUGCAAACACCUAACUUGCUCCUAAGAGCUUGAAAACGACUCACACAAAACUCAAGUUCAGCAAAUGAUCAUCCAUAUUGUUGUACAAUGCCCUAGGAGCUUGCUUAAACCCAUAGAGAGCCUUUUUCAACAAAUAAACCUUCUGCUCUUUUCUUGGUAUGAUGAAUCCGUUUGGUUGCUCAACAUAGAUCUCUUCUUCUAACACUCCAUUUAGGAAUGUUGACUUCAUAUCUAGCUGAUACACCUUCCAUCCAUGCUGGGCUGACACAGCCAGCAACAACCUGAUUGUAUCCAUUCUUGCAACUGGUGUAAAAGUCUCAGAAAAAUCAAUUCCUCAGACUUGUGCAUACCCUUUUUGAUGAAAAUGCCCCAACCUCUUGUGCCAUAACUUAGUGUCAUUUACUUGACACUUGAAAGCUAUAUGUUCCUUCUCGAGUGGAUCCAACAAGAAGCUCUUGUGCUGCAUCUUUAUUUUGAACAACUCAUUCCCAUUGGAAUCAGAAAUGAGGCAUUUUCCUUCUUUAAACAACACUUUGAAUCCAUUCUCUAAUAAUUGAACAACGCUUAACAAGUUUUGAUCAAUUUCAGGGACAAACAACACUUUAGUAAUCAACUUGGUUCUAGCACAACUCUCUAUUGACACUGUGCCCUUCCCCUUUACUUUUAGAGACUCAUCGUUUCCUAUCUUCACCCUUGACUUGAAUGACUUGUCAAGGUCUUUGAACAACUCUUUGUCAUUUGUCAUGUGAUUGGUACACCCACUAUCAACCAACCUACCAUCACAUUGAGUGACUGAUGAGAAACAAGUAGCCACAAAGAGUUGAUCUUCUUCUUGCUAUACUACAACAUGUGUUCCUCCUUGCUGUUGAGUUUUUGCUUCCUUACAAAAUCGUUCAAUGUGCCCCAAUAAAUGACAUCUUCCACACUUCACAUCUGGCUUUCUCCAGCAUAUGAAAUUUGGAUGAUUUUGCUUCCCACAGUGCUUGCAUGUACUACCAGCAUCUUUUGCAGCAGACUCUGAGCUACUGCUGCCACUUCCCUUUUUCUCUCUUCCACCUUCUCCCUGCUACACUCUAGCUUUCAAUGCCCCCUCAAUGCUUCCUUCUUGUCUCAUCAACCUCCUCUGCUCUUGUGCUUGCAAAGCACUAACCACUUCUAUCACCUUGAGUUUUGAGAGGUCGUAUUUUCUAAUGAAGCUUCAUAUCUCUCAGGUACUGAAACUAGAAUCUUCUGAACCAAUCUAUUGUCAGAUAAACUGGGUCCUAAUACUCUUGCCUUGUUAGCAAUCCUAAUCAACUUAUCUGAGUACUCUUUAAUGGACUCAGAAUCUUUCAUUUGCAUUCUCUCGAAUUCUCGCAUCAAGUUCAACACUUUCAUGCCUUUAAUCCUCUCAUCACCUUCAUACGCACUCUCGAGGAACUCUCAGAUCUUCUUUGCCAAUUUCAAGGCCAUAAUUCUGUUGAAUAUGGCGGGAGACACAAUUGCAUAUUGGCAAGCUUAAGCUUUUGCCUUCCUGGUGACUCUCUCCUUGUGAGUCUUGAUCUGAUGUAUUGUUGGGUUAUCAGGAAGUGGAGCAAUCUCAUAGUCUUGUUCAAUUGCUUUCCAAUAAUCACAACCCUCCAUGUAGGCUUGCACUCUGAUAGCCCAUGCCUGGUAGUUUUCACCAUCAAACACAGGUGGAGCCAAUGAAGAAAGAUUGUUUGAUCCUAAUUCCAUCUCUAACAACUCUCAUAGGUGUAUCACUUAGUUUCUCUCGGAGAUAUUUCAUUGAUUCUCGCUCACAAAUCCCUUAAGAAUUGAGGGCUCUGAUACCACUGUUGUUCUAACCAAUGAGAGAGAAAUGAGAAAAAUGGGAAGUGUGUGAAUUUCAUUCUAGAAAACUCCAUAUAAAUUCAUAUCUUGAAUCUAAAAAUAGAUUCCACAAUGUUAGCAACUAAUCCCACUAACUCCACAAGAAUAGGAACUUAUACUUGACUACAACUAAAAAUAACUUCAACUAUUUCCUAGAAACUAGGAAUUGACUAGACCAACUCAAAAACUAAUUUGCAGUUUGAGUUACUAACAAAUAAUUUUUCACAUCGCAAUAUGCUUGAGAAUGUGAGGGAACAACGUCCUUCCUUUAGAGAUUUAGUGUUUGAAUUGACUGAAGGAGCCCGUUCUACAUGGCCACGAAGGAGUCAAUUGUCUACAACUAUUUCGAGUGUUAAAUAUGCCCUUCUACACAAGAUCUACAUUUAUAAUUGGGCCCAUCUUCUCACAAAUCAGGCUUAUCCAUUGCUCUUACCACUUUUCUUUAUCAGAUAGGGCUUCAAGCACAAUUCAAUUAUGGUGUGUUUGUGCUAAACCAAAUUAAAAGGGUAUAUUGGGUCCCCAACUUUUAAAUUGCCUAUUUGUUUUCCUCGCCUCAUCUGCGGUAUUUUGCUGUCCCAAAAGCCCGAUCUUCUCUCCCUGACAAAACCUGUUGAAUCCUCUCCAAGUCUCUUUUCCAUCAACCCAAAGCUUCUGCAGGGACACCAUAUUCCUGACCUGGACAUUACCACCACGACUCAUCAUCUUCAUGGUCUAAGCAGAGCUUUUUUUGAGUUUUCUUUUGGUAGUUGUAUCCUUCACCUGCUAUCAAAUGAAUCUCGUGACCUUGCGUCCAUGGUGUAGAGACUUCAAGAGAGGAAAAAUGAAAUGAUUAGGUAAUACAGAUUAUGUGGUCUGUCUUGUCUAGGGAUGGAGGAGCUUUCUCGUCUCAAUCGAGGAGUUGGUUUUUUUAAUUGCUAGAAAGGGGGGUGUUGGUUCUGCUUCUGGGUUUGCUAUUUGAUACUUUAUUAAAUCUGUGCUUGUGUUUGAGUUAGUGUUGUUUGGUUUAUGGUUUGGUUUGUUUUGGAAGACCUUGAUGGUUGGACUUGUUUUGUCCUAUUACUGAUGUUAUUGUUUUUGUCAAACCUUUAUUUCAAACAUUUUUACUUUGACGAUGAAUGGUUGCUUGCUUUUGUAUGUAUAUGUACAUAUAUAUAUAUAUAUAUAUAUAUAAAUUAUUAGCCAAAUGGGGAGUUUGUUGGAGAUUUAUUAGUUGGCUUUAUAAUUUUUCUAGGGCAGUGGUUUCUGCAGUUGUCUCCUAUAAAGUCGUAACAUCUGUUUGUGACAAUAGAUUAUUUUCCUGCAAAAUAUUUUCCUUAUUUGAAAAUAUCGGUUGUGAUAUUUUGUCUGAUAUUUUCCUUUAUUGAGUUAUGUUGUCCAUUUAGGCUAGUUGUAUUUUUAUUUUAUUGAGCAAGACGAUUUCUGUUUGACAAUCAAAUUGUUCUACAUUGUGUUCUUGCUCGUUGCUCACUACUCCUUUGUGUAC